CAGUCGCCGCGGUAAUGCGUAGGGUGCGAGCGUUAAUCGGAAUUACUGGGCGUAAAGCGUGCGCAGGCGGUUCGGAAAGAGAGAUGUGAAAUCCCAGGGCUUAACCUUGGAACUGCAUUUUUAACUACCGGACUAGAGUGUGUCAGAGGGAGGUGGAAUUCCGCGUGUAGCAGUGAAAUGCGUAGAGAUGCGUAGGAACACCGAUGGCGAAGGCAGCCUCCUGGGAUAACACUGACGCUCAUGCACGAGAGCGUGGGGAGCAAACAGGAUUAGAUACCCCGGUAGUCCCUGUCUCUUUACA
rnacentral:rRNA from 1 species